GUGGGGAAUAUUGGACAAUGGGCGAAAGCCUGAUCCAGCCAUGCCGCGUGUGUGAAGAAGGUCUUCGGAUUGUAAAGCACUUUAAGUUGGGAGGAAGGGCAGUAAGUUAAUACCUUGCUGUUUUGACGUUACCGACAGAAUAAGCACCGGCUAACUUCGUGCCAGCAGCCGCGGUAAUACGAAGGGUGCAAGCGUUAAUCGGAAUUACUGGGCGUAAAGCGCGCGUAGGUGGUGCAGCAAGUUGGAUGUGAAAGCCCCGGGCUCAACCUGGGAACUGCCUUCAAAACUACUGAGCUAGAGUACGGUAGAGGGUAGUGGAAUUUCCUGUGUAGCGGUGAAAUGCGUAGAUAUAGGAAGGAACACCAGUGGCGAAGGCGACUACCUGGACUGAUACUGACACUGAGGUGCGAAAGCGUGGGGAGCAAACAGGAUUAGAUACCCUUGUAGUCC
rnacentral:rRNA from 1 species